GGUUGAAAUUUUGCAGGGUUGUUGAAAUCAAAUUUAGGGACUUUACUGACGGGACUCUGGGCUGGCUGCUCUGUUCACUCGUCAGCGCAAGUGGCGUGACCAAGUAAUUGGGGCACGGGGCCGGCGCGGCGCGCUGCGGGCUUGCAGAAUUUUGUUUGUUUGUUUGGCCGCACGCUGGCGCAGCCACGGGCCGCAGUUACUGGGGCGCGCUGUCGUAACAAGCCGCGCGGUGUGGCCUGCACAUUGGGGUAGAGGGGGGGUAGUCUUCCCAGAUGUUCUAGUUAGUUGUUUAGUAAAUUUGACUUCAAUAACGAGCUUUUGUUAUGGUAGGCGCGGCAGGGCGCGCGAAUUUAAGCGCAAGUGAUUGGUGACUCGGGGCUCACUCAGGCGGAGGCUAUGCGUCUCACCUGUGGUCACGAGUUGUUAGUUCGUUCGUGAUGUAGGAAUUCAGGCUCACUCAGGCGGAGGCUAUGCGUCUCACCUGUGGUCACGAGUUGUUAGUUCGUUCGUGAUGUAGGAAUUCAGGCUCACUCAGGCGGAGGCUAUGCGUCUCACCUGUGGUCACGAGUUGUUAGUUCGUUCGUGAUGUAGGAAUUCAAGCUUUCGGGCGGAAGCUAUGGUCGACGCCAGAGGCCACGAGUCGUUUAAUUUAAGUUAGGUCAUAAUGUAGUCGUCAAGCUUUCGGGCGGAGGCUAUGGCCCUCGUCAGGGGUCACGCGUCAUAGUUUUUAAAAUGUAAUGUUCGUUCGGGAUUUCAAGGGCAGGAGAGGCCCCUACGUUAUUUUUUUAAAGUAAUCGAUCAAGAAAGGCUUUUCGGAAAAUGUGAGUAUGGACUUAUCUUUGUUUUAAUUUUAAGUAUUAAUUAUGAUUUGAGGUAUUCGGAAGGACUAGGGAAGUGUUUAGUGAAGUUCUCUCAUUCUCUCUCUUGUAAGGUCGUUCAAUCGUUAAGGAAGUAAAGAGAUUAUUGUUUUAAAUUGUAAUCCCGCUAUUUAAAUGUUCUUUAAAAUGAUGUUGAGUAUUUGACUUUAAGAAUAAAAUAAUUUUAAUUAAGUAUUAUGUUAUUUUGCAAAAUCUCCUUAGUUCAGCUCUCACCAGACAUCCUGUACGGGAUGACGAACCUAUGAUCCUAGGUACAGUAAAGUAUUUUAUGAAGUUAAGACUAGUUGAUGCCAAGCGAGUUGUUUCUAUGUAAAGAGCUACGAUUCUCGCCCCCCCCUCUGAAGGUGGAUCGUGACAGAAAUGGCGGUGGCACCGGCUAGGUGCACGUGAUAGAAAGGGUAGAGUUCGCCGGAUAGGUUCUAUUUCUGGAGAGAGAGAGAGAGGUAGAUUUUUAUGUUUAUUAUUAAGUUAGUUUCAGCUUCUGAUAGCAGGUUAUUAAGAGUUUACUUGAGGAGAGGAUUACGGAAUUUUAGUCUAUAGUGGAGGAAGUCUUUGAGAUUUUUUUUUUGACGUAACAGAUGUUUAUUUGAGGAUACUUGUAAGGAUAAAGUUUAUAGUGAUAAGUUGUUUUAAGUCGUUGAAUUUAUUGUAGAUUUAUAUCGGGGAUUAUUACGUGAGGAGAAUACGUUAUAAGUUAAAUGCUUAUUAGAGAUAAUGCAAGUGGUUUAAUUUAAUUGAAGUUCAUUUUAAGAUUGUAGGUUAAGAGAAUUAUAAUUUAAAAUAAAGUUUUUUGUCGUAAAUAGGAAUUAUUUUCAAGAGAAGUUUGUUUUGUUUUCGUGCGCGUAGGAGACGAGACGUACGAAUUAAAUCAGUCGAGGGAAGGAUAAACGUUAGAAAGGAAUUAAAGAGAAAACGAGAGUUUAUGUAAAAGAGAGUUAUAGAAUUUAUAGUGAUGUUUUGUUUUAAUUAGAAAAAUGUUGAGAGUUGUUUCAGAACGACACGUCAGUGGACGUGGCAGAGUGAACACGUGACUGGGAGGUGCUGAGACCUAGCGGAGAACGGAGGAACCGCAAGCGAGGGUUGGCGCACCUGAUGGAAUUCGGUGACGUCACGGGCUCAUACGGAGACGUGGACAGGCCGUGACCUUGUUUUGAUCAGCUGUACGGUAACUUAGCGAUAAGAAAAUAGACUAUUGGUUAAAUAAAUUUAAAUUUAAGUGUGUUUUAGGAGAAGAGGAACUUUCAGUAUAUUCCUUAAGAUGAGCUGAGCAGCAGUCCAGUUUACAAGAUGACAAGAGUUCGAGAGACAAGAUACAAGAUCACUGAAACAAGAGCCAAGACUGAAGAUUCAAGAGAAGAGAAAGCUGGCAGCCAUGGACUUACAAGUGGAGAUUAAUAAGGUCAUGUAAAGUUUUAUUUUUUUUUAUGGAAGACAGUAACUGGAGUUUUUUUUUGUUAUAAACAUUAUUUACAGAACUUUUUAGGUUAUAGUAAUGUAAUGGAACUAGUGAGUUGUGGUAGCUGUCAAAAAGAACUAAUACCUUAAGUUUAAUUUUUAAAGUUAAUUUUCUUAAUUUACAGAGGGAUUAGUAGUUUUUUUUAAACCUUAUUUAGGUUGGAAUUUAAAUACAAUAGCUUAUUAUAAAUGUGUACGAACAGUUCAAGUUCACAGUACUGAUAGGUAGGUCAGAUGAUCUUAUUGAUUUUGAUGAUUUGUUGUUUUGAGUUGAUUUUUAAGUGUUGUGAAUUAGACAAUGAAAUAGUUCUGAAAACUUAAAUUAUUUCAAGCUAAGAAAUAGUAAAGUUAAUUGUAACUCAAAGGACACCAGAAUUUAAUUUUUUUUUGAAUUAGUAAUGUUUGAAAAUUUUAUACUUUACAAGAAAGGUUAUAAACAAACAGAUCGGAUGGAACAAGGAUGCAGUAAAUCACAAUUUCAUUUAGAAUUAUUGAUUAGCUUUUGAGGUUAUGAAGUAAAAGUAAUUAUAAUUUAAAAGUUUGAAUAAAAAAAUGUUUUUUUUUAUUUGUUUGAAAUAGAAAGUUUAAAAGUUAAUUAGUCAUGAUCUAGGUGGGUGAUGGGGUGGGAAUUGGCCACUCUUUUUCCCUAUAACCUCCCUAACAUGGCCUUCUAUUACAACUAACAGAAAUAAAGAAGAAGAAAAAUGAAGAAUUAUUAGUUAGAAUGUUUCUUUCAUGAAGAUACCUGAUGAACUUUUACUGUUUGGAAGAAUAGAAGCAAGGUUAGUCAGAUAUUUUUACUCAGAAGAAGAAGAAGAUAAAGCAGUUUUAUGACUCGACAAGCCAGAGAUUGGUGUUUCCCCUCUGCGCUUCUAUUGACUACGUUGUUUACUCUCAUGGGAUAGCUGGUUCGGCACCAUGGAGAGAGAUUGGUGGGCAUUGUGGUUGCCCCCAGAAGAAAAGAAGAGUAGAAGAGGUUAUGGGUGGGUCAUGUGAACUGACCUUCAACCCAGUUACUUCGUGGGGACUAUUUGCUGUAUAGAGAAGAUCAAGACUCAAGAGUUAGGGAAAAUCAUUGGAGGUCAUGUUUCCCUUCCUUAAGUUUUUCCUAUCAAAUUAUUUGCCUGAUUAGAUUAUGCUAAGGGUGGGAUACUUUAUGUUAGCAGUUGAAUUAAUUAAUUUUAUUUUUUUGUGUGUUUGCAUCCUUGCCCAUCGAUUGCAGUUUAGUAGUUAGUUUUGUAUUUGUCAGGCGUGAUGGUAAUGCCUGUUGAUGAUGUUUCAGAAUUGUAAUCUGUUCGUGAUGAGGAUGGCACAACUCCGAAGCAGAUGUGGGGAGAAGUUGUGAGCUGCCCUGGAAGCCAGUCCAGUAGCUGUUGGAGUUGAGUGGUGUUUGCUGAUGGCCAGCCCAGGGAGCUACUCUUCUCGACAACACUGACUUCGAGGAGUUGCACCAACCUUCACGAGAUAAGAGUUUAAUUAAUUGAAACACUGUAAGGACACUUAAUUUUUUUUGAAGAACGAAAGAAGUAUGGUAAUAAACGGAAACCGAAAAAAAAAAAA